CACAGAGUUAGUCGCCACUUCCUCUGGGGUAGAUCAGAACUUUCUUACCCCUGACAGUGGUUUACAUCCCGAAGGACUUCAUCCCACACGCGGCGUCGCUCCAUCACACUUUCGUGCAUUGUGGAAGAUUCGUUACUGCAGCCCCCCCGUAGGAGUCCGGACAGUGUCUCAGUUCCGAUGUGGCCGACCGACCUCUCAGUCCGGCUACGCGUCAUUGCCUUGGUAAGCCGUUACCUUACCAACUAGCUGAUACGAUAUAGCCCCAUCCCCAGACCGGUUGCCCGUUGAGCACAAUGCCAUGCGACAUCGUGAUAUCAUCUGGUAUUACCCAACCUUUCGGUUGGCUAUCCCAGGAGUCCGGGGUAGUAGCUAUACAUUACUCACCCGUGCCGCCACUGAUGUAUUGCCUACACCCGUGCGACUUGCAUGUCUUAGCCACGCCGCCAGCGUUCAGGCUGAGCCAGGACUCAAACUCGU
rnacentral:rRNA from 1 species